GAUUAGGCUCCUCGCGUCGCGGCCAGCCGGUGAGAGUGAGUGCACGAGAGAAAGCUGACAUCCCGGCAGAGCGUCGACGGAGCCCACCUGAGGAUGUGUGUGGAGUGUCUGUACGGGGGAACCGGCAGGAGCUAGGGCGGCCUGAGCCUCCACCUGUGGAUGGUAACUCUUCAACUUUCCCCCCCACGGACCCGUGUUCACCUCUGCUGCGGGGAUAAGCACCGACAGAGACAGGUGUCCGCUCACGUCACCGCCCGCCCCCCCCCCCCCCCCCUCCACACCCCGCGAGGCUGUCGGACGACCGGGCUGAGGAGUUUCCCUUUAGAACCGUGUUUACCUCUGAGUGGUUUUUGUACAAACUUUGACUUUUUUUCUGAGCCAUGUUGUGGACGAGUUGGCUCGUCCUGCUGCUCUGCUGGGCGGCGACAGGCGACGAGCUGCAGGCGGAUGAGAGGAGCGGAGCCCCGGCGGAGGUCCGGGCGGACUCCCGCAGGCAGAGAACCCCUCCACCGGUGGAGCCGCUGGACUUUGGUUUUGUACCAGCUGCCGUUUAUGACACCCAUGCCUACUACGAGCCGGGGCCCGUAGGGAUCCUCUUCCAUAUGGUACAUGCGUUUCUCUACGUGAUUCAACCGAACCCAUUCCCCAAAGAUCUCAUUGUAAAGGUUAUCCAGCAAAACAUGGGGGGAAUCAAAAUUGAGGAAUGGAGAAAGCCAGAAAACGUUGUCCUGUUACUACAGUGGAUCUACUACGAGGCCGGGUUCCUCAUAUGUGCAACCGUCGGGAUCGUGUUCAUUGUCCUGAUCCCUAUCGUUGGAACAUGUUUCUGUGUGUGUCGAUGCUGUGAGAACUGUGGAGGGGAGAUGCACCAGAGACAGAGGAAGAACACAGACUGUCAGAGAGGCUUCUACACUGCCUCACUCAUCACUACUUCCAUCUUCAUUAUUGUGGGUGUGUUCAUUGCUUAUGCUGCCAACCAUAACGUCAGCGCCCAGAUCAAGAGCACGCGACGUUUCAUCAAUACCAACAUGAGAGACCUGAGGACCUUUGCUAACAACACACCUUCACAAAUCGAAUACUUGACAGCACAGUACGCCACAGCCAAGAACAAAGUCCUGUCAGAUCUGGACAACAUUGGACCUUUGUUGGGCGGGAGGAUCCACAGUCAGCUGGAGAAACAGGUGGUUCCUUCAUUAGACACUGCUCUGCGCAUGGCAGGAGCAAAAGUUGAGAGUGCCAUCAAAGCAAUGCGAGAGACCAAAGAGGCUCUGGAGAAUGUGAGCUCGUCCCUGGAGGUGCUUCAGGAGGGGACUGGGAAACUUCAGGCCUCUUUGUCCGGAGAACGGGCGUCUCUGUCCAACACGCUGUCUGACCCGGCCUGCACCAACGGAGCUGUAUCCCACACAUGCAACACCAUCCGCUCCACACUAUCCCAGCUGGGAGUCAGUGCCGACUACUCCAAGCUCCCAGAUGUCUCUCAUGCCUUAGAAAAUGUCAACAUCGUCUUGAAAACAGACCUCAGCAACAUUGUACAAAAGGGUUACUCCUCCUUUAAUGACACACCAAAACUGGUUAAAGAGCAAACUAAAAAUAUUGUCUCAGCUCUUCCUCGAGUGAAAGGCAUGCUGGAUAAAAUUGGCACAGAGAUUACCAGCUUCUCCAAGAUGUUCCCAGUGGAAGCCUCUUUGGCCAAUUUCACUAUUUUCCUCAAUGAUGGACAGAAGAAGAUUGAAGCUUACUACCCACAGAUAGACCAAAUGGAUUUUUACAGGUGGAUCGGUUGUGUGGCGGUGCUCUGCAUGGUUGUCUUGAUCCUGGCUUUCAACAUCCUUGGCCUGCUGUGUGGCACCUGUGGUUACGACAAACAGGCCACUCCCACCACCCGUGGCUGCCUGUCGAACACUGGUGGCAACUUACUAAUGGCCGGCGUGGGCUUCACGUUUAUCUUCGCCUGGGUGCUGAUGGCCAUCGUGACCACCCUGUUUGUUGUCGGUGGUAACGUGGAGAAGCUCAUGUGUGAGCCACUGGCCAACCGACAGCUAUUCAAGAUCAUCGACACUCCUUUCCUGGUUCAUCCUAAUAAGAAGAACUUCCUUCCUGGGAUGCUGUUCCAGAAUCCAAACAUUGACUUGACUUUGGGAGGCAUGUACAGAGAGUGCUACGAGAACAACGGCCUGUACCACGCUCUGCAACUGGAGACAAUGUUCAACAUUAACUCCUUCCUCAACAGAACUGUGUACAACAAGGAUCUGUCCAAAGUCUUUGACAGUGUGCAGGUGGAUCUGCAGGACAUCACUCUCCUGGAGCAGGCAGGCAGAGACAACCUCAUCAACUUUGCCAACUCUGGAGUUGGACACAUUGAUUAUGAAGCGUACAUGGCAGAGGUAAACAGGGGCGUCACUACUGUAGAUCUCUUGUCAUUCUCUACUGAUCUGGAGGCUCAAGCUGAUCAACUGCCCCGAGGUGCUCUUGAAAAUGCCCUGAAGGGACACGCCAGCAGCAUCCGACAGAUUCAUAGAGAACAGGUGGUUCCACUGGAGCAAGCAAUGAAAUAUGUCAAAGCACGGAGUACAUUAAGCCAGAGUAUAAAACAGCUGCAGAGGACGUCCAGCGACCUGCCGGUCAAAGUCACUAAUAUCCUGAGUGCCAUCGAUGCAGCCGAGUACCUCAUCACUCACAACGCCUCCCAUGUAGUGAAGCAGGAAACAAAGGGCUACAUAGAGAGCCUGGUGGGAUACUUCAAACAGUACACAGAAUGGGUUAAAAACUCUCUGACUGCAGAGGUGGCCCAGUGUAAACCCAUCAGUAACAUUGUGGACAGCAUGGAGAUAGUAGCCUGCAGCUUUAUAAUCGAUUCAGUGAACACAUUCUGGUUCGGCCUGGGGUGCUGCUCCAUCUUGCUCAUUCCCAGUAUCAUCUUCUCUGUCAAACUGGCCAAGUAUUACAGGAGGAUGGACACAGAGGAUGUCUUUGAGGACUCCUCGUACCCAUGGCUCGUUUCACUUUGAUAUCUGUCUGUUCUUCACACAUCUUCAUCUCCUUUUCUUAGUCGGAAUGCGACAUUCUGAAUCUGGAUCUCUUUUCCAUCUUUGUACAUCAUUUUCAUCUGAAAUCAUAAGCAUGGUCUUUCUCUCACUCGCUCAUUGUCCCUUUGGUCGUGGUUCUUCCGACUUGAGCAUCUAUUUCCGAGGAUCGUUGCACCCUGAUCACUUUCAGACUCUUCCCAUUCUCUUUCUCGUUCCCACCUGACCUGUGUCCGCCCUUGCUCUUGUGUUGCAGUAUGGGUAAUACAGGUAACCAUGGUGAACAGGUGUGUGAUAUCCAUGGAAACCUCACUGUUGUCAGGUAUGAGCAGACUCACUGCUUGCAUGCCAUGGUGUUAAUUGGUGGAGGGAUUUUCCUGUCCAUGUGACUUCAAGUUCAGCUUUCUUCGCUCCACAUUUGUACAUAUUGAUAAAAAAUCCCCAUAUGUAUGUGCGUGUGUGUGUGUGUUUACAUGUGUAGCUCCCCCUAUUGUGACACUCUGACCCGGUUUCCUCGGGCCUCUGCUCCCCCGACUUACGCCGACUGGUGACCCAAAGGAACAGUCUCCUUCAGCAGUAAGCGGACAGGAGAGCUGGAACUGACCUCCCAUUGUGGAUCACGGAAUUCUUAACACUUGCAAGGACAAAAGGGAAGACCAACUAUGAAACACUGUGCAGUGAGGGCACCCCGACCCCCCAGUCCCCCCUUCAGGCCAUUCAACAAGGACCUCUGGUACCAGCCAACUGUAAUUCAUCAAGUGUUUUCUCUACACACCAGCAUCCCAUCACAGCAGAACCACGGCAGUCAGUCUUUGUAGUGUGUCAUAAUAAUGUCCAGGAUCGUCUGUCCCUGCAUAGAUAGUUUUAUCUGUAGACAGUACGUUUGUACCGACUUCAUCCGUUUUAACACGGUGACACAAGUGUACAUUUUUUACGCUUUCAAAACUUUUGAAAGUUUUAUAUAUUUUUAUUAAUGUUUGUUUUAUAAAUUGUAAGUAGUUUUUAUAGUAGUACUGGUAGUUAUUUCCCUCCUUUUUCUUUUCUUUUCUUUUCUUUUCUUUUCUUUUCUUUUCUUUUCUUUUCUCUUUCCUGUGGAUAUUUUGAAUAUAACUAGUGCAGUUUUGGCUCAACAGUUGCACUGACCAGGUAGGUUUUACACUUCAAUUUUGGCUCUUCGUAAGACAUUUGUAUAGUUGUACAGUGAGUACAUUGUUUUUCCUGGUCCAUGCUACUGCAAGAGGCAAAAUGCAUACACACACACACACACACACACACACAUUUGAGGUUUUACGACAGCUAACAAAAUAUUGUGUCUUAGGCAUUUCUCGCCAGACCAUUAGUGAGGGCCUAGCUGCUUGUGUUGUAAGUUUUUUUUUUCUGCCAUCCUGUGGUAUGAAAAAACUCCCAGAAGCCUCUGUGGUCUUACAGACCAGGAUAAGGAACACAUACACAAAAACUGUCCUGCUGGAGUUUGUGGUGACAAAUCUGUGAAUAAAAACUUGAGUCCAACAA